GGCUCGUUGGUCUAGGGGUAUGAUUCUCGCUUAAAAUGUGCGAGAGGUCCAGAUACGGGUUCAAAUCCCGGACGAGCCC
rnacentral:tRNA from 1 species